rnacentral:rRNA from 1 species
AUUGAACGCUGGCGGCAUACCUUACACAUGCAAGUCGAACGGCAGCACGGGGCAACCUGGUGGCGAGUGGCGAACGGGUGAGUAAUGCAUCGGAACGUACCUUUCAGUGGGGGAUAACGUAGCGAGAGUUACGCUAAUACCGCAUAUUCUGUGAGCAGGAAAGCAGGGGAUCGCAAGACCUUGCGCUGAUUGAGCGGCCGAUGUCAGAUUAGCUAGUUGGUGAGGUAAAGGCUCACCAAGGCGACGAUCUGUAGCGGGUCUGAGAGGAUGAUCCGCCACACUGGAACUGAGACACGGUCCAGACUCCUACGGGAGUCAGCAGUGGGGAAUUUUGGACAAUGGGGGCAACCCUGAUCCAGCCAUGCCGCGUGAGUGAAGAAGGCCUUCGGGUUGUAAAGCUCUUUCGGCCGGGAAGAAAUCGCACGGGCUAAUACCCUGUGUGGAUGACGGUACCGGAAUAAGAAGCACCGGCUAACUACGUGCCAGCCGCCGCCGUAAGAC